UACGUAGGUGGCAAGCGUUGUCCGGAAUUAUUGGGCGUAAAGCGCGCGCAGGCGGUCCUUUAAGUCUGAUGUGAAAGCCCUUGGCUUAACCGAGGAAGUGCAUCCGAAACUGGCGAGCUAGAGUACUAAAGAGGAUCGCGGAAUUCCCGGUGUAGAGGUGAAAUUCGUAGAUAUCGGGAGGAACACCGGUGGCGAAGGCGGCGAAUCUGGGGUAGAUACUGACGCUGAGGUGCGAAAGCGUGGGGAGCAAACAGG
rnacentral:rRNA from 1 species